GACGAACGCUGGCGGCGUGCUUAACACAUGCAAGUCGAACGGAAAGGCCCUGCUUUUGUGGGGUGCUCGAGUGGCGAACGGGUGAGUAGCACGUGAGUAACCUGCCCUUGACUUUGGGAUAACUUCAGGAAACUGGAGCUAAUACCGGAUAGGAGCUCCUGCUGCAUGGUGGGGGUUGGAAAGUUUCGGCGGUUGGGGAUGGACUCGCGGCUUAUCAGCUUGUUGGUGGGGUAGUGGCUUACCAAGGCUUUGACGGGUAACCGGCCUGAGAGGGUGACCGGCCACAUUGGGACUGAGAUACGGCCCAGACUCCUACGGGAGGCAGCAGUGGGGAAUAUUGCACAAUGGGCGGAAGCCUGAUGCAGCAACGCCGCGUGCGGGAUGACGGCCUUCGGGUUGUAAACCGCUUUCGCCUGUGACGAAGCGUGAGUGACGGUAAUGGGUAAAGAAGCACCGGCUAACUACGUG
rnacentral:rRNA from 1 species